rnacentral:lncRNA from 1 species
UAGAUUAAAAAAGUGUUUCGUUUAUUUAUUUAAUUAAUUUUUUUUUAAAUCAAAUCACUAUUUUAUUUAUAGUUCACUUCAACACCAAAAAUGUUCCCUGCGCACCAAAACUUUCCCCUUUUUCUCUUCGUGUAAUCCACGCCAUAAAAGCCGAUUUCCCGUUCGUGAGUGAUCCGAGUAAGAUCACUCCGUACAUUUUAUAACCCCCCCACAUACGUCCGCUGUUCUUGAUGCUCCUUGCCUGGCACCGUCCAAUGGCCAACGGCUUUCAUGUGAAACCAGAUACAGAUACAGUCCGCACCAUAAAUCACUUGUGAGUGAGUGAGAGGCUGGCUGCCUGCCCAAUUCAACGACAUUGCCUGGCCUGCUGCUUUUUAUCCAUUUUUGAGAAUGUCGUGGCUGAGUCCAAAAUGGCGGACGGGACACUAAACGCAGGAGAAGAACAUAAGCUGUGAAUUCAGCGUAAUUUUGGCACAACACUGGGUAAUGCAGUAGCUGGAAACGGGGAGUGCGGGAGUGCUGGAGUGCAGGGGACAUCAAACAGUCUGCGGCAAAAGUCAAACAAUUUCGUUACGGCAGAGUGACCAAAGGCCAGCGACCAAGACGCAGCAGCAGCAGCAGCAGCAGCACCGUGGAACGGGUUGAAUUCUGCCCAAGCAGUGGCGGGGGGAUGGAGAGAUAUUUCGGCAUGUGCAUUUGGCGUAACAAACAAAUGCAAACACACACUCCGGGCACUCCGUGCGAUCCACUGCAGUCCCAAUUUCAGUUCCCAAUUUCUUGUGUUUUUUGUUUUUAGCGUGUAGGUGCGAAAAGAAACCGUUUUGCCGUCCUCCUCCACUUCCUUUAUCUGCAUCUGUAUCGCUUGGUGUUUUCUGUGUCCAUUUCUGGUUACUUGGCCCUGGGUUUUUGCAUCGCUCUUACAUAAAAAGAGUCAAAAUAUUGUCGGUGCCAUGUGUACAAACACAAAGCAAAGCGAAAAAAAAAACCCAUUCCAUUGCGCAGCGUUUGCUGACAAAAGUUUUUAAUCUUAAAACGUUUUUGGCCCACGUCUCGAUUCGGUUUGUGUUUCGUUGCACGGGUAUCAAAAUCUGGACAGGUUGUAUAUUUAACAUUCGGCUUUGACAUUUCCGAUUUUGCUAAUCGUGGUGUGCACUAUAAAUCAACUUCUCGAGAGCCUCCGGCUGGGUACAACCAAUGGAAGAGAACACUACACUCCUCCCAUCCUCUGCCUAUCGGUGUUGUCGUCUAGCACUUCAGAUCGUCGUCGUCUUCGUCUUGUUUGUUGUGACGGUGGUUCGAUGGGGCGCCAAUUGAAUGGGUUUCAGUUAUUUCAUUACAUUCAUUCAAAUUUGCUUUAUUUAAGUGCAAACAUUUAUAAUUUAUUGAUAUUUUAAUCUUCAGCUAAGUUUCACUGGGUAGAGUUAUUUUAAUCUCUCUUUCUUGUUCACUUUCAGCAAACGCAGCAAAAGUACGGUACACAACAUAAGCAACACAUACAUACACACAAAGCUGGUCUCUCGGAUUAACACCACCAGUUGCAUAUUUUAUUUCUCUACACAAAAAUAAGCUCAAUUCCAUAUUUUCCCACAAGAAAUGCCUCAAUCCAACACUCGCGCAACUUCUCUGCAUAUAUUAGCUGCAAUCGACGUGUAUUUAAUUGACUUUUUAUGAACUUUAAUUGCAAACAAAAUAAAAACACACACACGCGCUGAAUGACAGCCAGGCGCGAUUGUCUCGCCCUACAGUUAUGCAUGAGUGCAAGUGAGCAGGCAAUAGUGGCUGGUGAGAGCAGAGAGCAAUGGCUGAGAGCGGGGG